rnacentral:lncRNA from 12 species
CGGGCAGCGGCCCUCCUCCCCUGAGGCUGGGGCUGCAGCUCAAAUCACUCCGUCCAUGUGCUGAGGAUGGAUCUACACCUCGGACCUGCUUGGAAAGGUCGAGGCAAUGCUUCAAUGCCUGCUCCUGUUACACCAGCCCUGGUGCCUUCCGUUUCAGACAAAGAGAUCCUCCCAUUCAUAUUUUAUACAGGCUGCCAGUGCUUUUAUAUUCCUUCAGAACUUCCACUCGCUCUGGAGAUGUGUCUGUGUGUCAGUGGUGACCCAGCUUCCCAAGAGAGACCUGCUGAGCUGAUUUGCACCAUUUUCCCUGUCACCCAUGUUAUUCAUGUCCUCAGCAGGCAGGUUUCUCUGCAGUGUCUUACCAGGGCCUGUUCUGCUGUGCUGAUUCAGUUGAACUCAAAAGCUAUGCCUUUUAUAUUGUGGUAAAAUAAACAAAAGAAACAAGACAUCUUUCUUGACUGUACAGAAUCCAGUAUAAGAAUCUCCAGUUUGAAGUGAGUGCAUCAUGAAGUUGUGAAGGAGGUUUUAGAUGUCCAUCAUGGGAAAACCACGCUGGAGAAUUGUGUGUUACAGCGUGAAGCCAGAAGCAUAACAGUACAGACAUCAGCCAAGCUAUUAAUAAAAAACUCAGAUCUGUGUGAUGCCAAGGAUGCUGGUGUGGAAAUAUAUCCAGGUAGUGUACGCACUCUGUUGAGCAAUGGUAUGUACUGCUGUAAGUAGGGAAUACUUAUAGACAACUUCUUAGAUUAAUAUUAUGACAUUCCCAAGGUAACCAUGAUCAAUAAUGUGAUCCAUAAUAAUAAAGGAUAUGGUGUGGUCCUAGUCAGAUCAAUGAUGGUCUCUGAUACAAAGGAUGCUUCAGCAGUCAGAACAAAAGGGAACACGCAGCUCACCCAGUCGAGGGAUGGCCAGCCUGUGCAGAGGCUUCAGGCAUGAACAACUACCUGAAUGCACAGCCUCAUGAGAGAGCUGACAUUUCUGAGCAAACCAAAGGCAA